UCGAAGGUUUUUUUUUGGGAU
ensembl:piRNA 21ur-1950 ncRNA